UACAGAGGGUGCUAGCGUUGUUCGGAAUCAUUGGGCGUAAAGGGCGUGUAGGCGGUUUGUUAAGUCAUGUGUGAAAUCCCUCGGCUCAACCGGGGAACGACGCAUGAAACUGGCAAGCUAGAGUACCAAAGAGGGGGUGGAAUUCCCGGUGUAGCGGUGAAAUGCGUAGAUAUCUGGAGGAACACCGGUGGCGAAGGCGGCAUCCUGGACCGGUAUUGACGCCUGAGGAGCGAAGCCAGGGAGCAAACGGG
rnacentral:rRNA from 1 species